rnacentral:rRNA from 1 species
GACGAACGCUGGCGGCGUGCCUAAUACAUGCAAGUAGAACGCUGAAGGAGGAGCUUGCUUCUCUGGAUGAGUUGCGAACGGGUGAGUAACGCGUAGGUAACCUGCCUGGUAGCGGGGGAUAACUAUUGGAAACGAUAGCUAAUACCGCAUAAUAGUAGAUGUUGCAUGACAUUUGCUUAAAAGGUUCAAUUGCAUCACUACCAGAUGGACCUGCGUUUUAUUAGCUAGUUGGUGGGGUAACGGCUCACCAAGGCGACGAUACAUAGCCGACCUGAGAGGGUGAUCGGCCACACUGGGACUGAGACACGGCCCAGACUCCUACGGGAGGCAGCAGUAGGGAAUCUUCGGCAAUGGACGGAAGUCUGACCGAGCAACGCCGCGUGAGUGAAGAAGGUUUUCGGAUCGUAAAGCUCUGUUGUAAGAGAAGAACGAGUGUGAGAGUGGAAAGUUCACACUGUGACGGUAUCUUACCAGAAAGGGACGGCUAACUACGUG